rnacentral:misc_RNA from 1 species
UGUUGGCAAGGGGAAGUGAUAUAUAUACCAGAGAAGUGGACACCUUUUGAUGUUGUUUUUCUCUACUUCCUUCCUGCAUUGCCGUUUGAACUUGAUCAAAUUCUGGAUGCACUAAGAAAAUGUUGUUCGCCAGGUGCAAGAGUUGUGAUUAGUCAUCCACAAGGCAGGCAAAUGGUUGAAGAGCAACAGAAACAAUAUCCUGAUGUGGUUGUCUCUAACUUGCCAGAAA